UAAUUAUUAUUAUUAUUAUUGAGAAUAUUAAGAAGGUAGUUCGACUUGUAUUUUGCUACUGCGAGGGAAAAAAAAAUAUUUGGUCUGUCCAAUGAUUGUAAACGUAAAAUUUUAGCGGUAAUGUGACCAAAAAUAUUUAAGACCAAUCGAAUCUGAAUUUAAGGCUUACACUAGAACUUUAGCUACGAUUACACCUAUCAUUUAUAAUACUCCGGUGUUUUCGACCCUCGAAGCACGUAGACCCAUCCGCGAUUUAAAUAAUAGGGAAUCUACCUAUUCAUAUCUAUGGCUGUACCUGCAUGAAUGGUCACGUGACAUGUUUUAGGUUGUGUAGUGUAAACGGAGAUCGUUUCUGAAACAGUCAGUGUAGACAAGGAUCGUUUUCAUUCAAAAACGAAAACGCACUAGUGUAAACAGGGCCUAAAGGCCUAAUUUAAGAUUUUUUUAAGGACCCGCAGACACCCUGUAGACAUUUAAAAAAAAAAAUUUAAACCUGCUUAUACUUACUUGACUGCACUGCUUUCUUCUUUCCUGCAAACAGCAAUAUUAUUGUUAAUAUUUAAUGAGAACAUAAACAAGCUCUUAAAAUCAAGUCUCUUACCUUGAACAGGACACUAGAAGUUUCUACAAAUAUUGUGUAACAAAACUGUCUAUGAGCAUGGGCUAUGCUUAGAAGAUACAUAAGAUAACAUACAAAUUAAUAAUUUAAUGACAAGAACAAUGUUUACGAAGUACAUUGUUAUAAUAUGAACCACAAAAUAAAUAAAUAAGGGUUUAUGAUAUUUUGACAGUAUGCACACUACUAAAGAGCUCUUCUACAAACUUGACUUCUCACCUCCAUAUGAAAGUUUGUAGUACAUGAAAGUCAUGAUUCCUACACCAACCCACAUCUCCUGGUAUGCUUUGGUGUAGUAGGGGGCCACCUUAGUCCACCAGCCAGCGAAUGCACCACCUGCCAUCUAUAUAUAAGUGUGCUGGACCACUCGGAGAAGGUCACUGUUCCGCGAGUUCAGGCGAGAGCUCAGUAGUAGGAG
ensembl:lncRNA